AUGGAGAAUGUUAACUCCUUCACUGCUGCUCACGUUGGAGGUCAAAGGCUCAAAAGUUUUGCCCAACGACCGGCAGAUGGUACCCGUGGUGGCAUCUUUCUGCUAUGGCAUGAGGAUGUGGUCCAGCUAUCCAACGUGCAUUUUGGGAUCUACUACCUCUCGGCCUUGGUUACCCUGCGCUCCUAGACCGACAACUCCACCUCCUUCAAGCUGACUGCUGUGUACGGACCGACCCGUGGCAAUCUCAAGGACGCCUUCUUUGGUUAUCUUGUGUCCGAAAAGCCUCCCCCGGGCACCAUGUGGCUGGUUACGGGUGACUUCAACCAAAUCUAUCGAGCAAGAGAUAAGAAUCGCGCAAAUGCUGAUUGCAGCCGCAUUGUCCAUUAUAGAAAUGCCCUGAACUCCUGGGAGUUAAAAGAGAUCCAUCUGCAAAACAAGAGGUUCAUGUGGAGCAACGGUCAAAGUGACCCUACCUUGAGCAAACUUGACAACUUCUCCUGCAAUGAGAAUGACUUGGAGUUCGGUUCGCACAUCCUGCAUACCCUUUCUUCCUCCCUGUUCGACCAUUGUCCGCUUCUGCUUGCAAAUGCGAAUGGCCCUAAAUGUUCCAAGUGCUUCUGUUUUGAGAACUUUUGGAUUAGGAUGCCUGGGUUUCUAUCCACUGUCCAAGCGGCGUGGAAUGAAGACCAUAGCCAUGUUGAGCUCUACCACAUUCUCCAUCACAAGCUCAAGAAAACUAGUAUCAGACUUAAAUCAUGGAGCAGAACACUUUUCUCUAAUGUCAAGGUCCAGCUUCAUGUGGCCUUGGAGGUCAUCCUGCGCCUAGAUAUUGCGCAUGAAUCUAGAUCCCUGAGCCCCGACAAGCUUGAUCUCCAAAAGAGGCUUAAGAGGCGUGUCCUUGGUCUGGCCAUGCUAAAGAAGGCUCGGAAAUGGAAAAUAUCAAGGAUCACGAACAUCAAAGAAGGAGACGCCAACACUAGAUUCUUCCACCUUAGAGUCAAUCGCAGAAGGAGAAAAAAUUUCAUCCAUCGCCUGAAAUAUAAUGGUGGUUGGGUUACUGACCACGACCAUAAGAAGGUCAUCAUUCACAACCACUCCUCCUUUGUUAUCAAGAAGGGCCCCCGGGACAAAGGUACUUUAACUGGGAGGGCAUUCCCACCCCUAACUGUGACAUCAGUGACAUUGGAUCCCCUUUCAUCGAGGAGGAGGCUAGGCGAGCUGUGUUUGAGUCACCAUCUAAUAAGGCACUGA
rnacentral:rRNA from 1 species